rnacentral:lncRNA from 1 species
CAGGACAGCAGCGGGGUUCCGCUCUCUUUCUCGUCCUCCAGUUCCUGCGCUAAGACUCGAAUGUCUUCUCCGGUGGAACCCCUUUCCCGGAGCCUGCCCUUCCACCCUUGCGGGGUAGUUGAGAGGAGUCGUCCAGGGCUAUCGACCCUCCAUGUCUCCCCCUCCCCCACUUCAUUCUUUAACCCAGAGAAAGAAGAGCUACCCCUCCGGGCUUUCUGCAAAACCUGGGGCUAGUCUGGAGAAGUCUGCUCUGGGCGGGCCUGUGCGCCCCUCCUCCGUUUGUUUGCGCUCAGGAGUUUUGACGUUUCGCUAAGCAACUGUGUUUGCCAAGGAGUCGGUGCAGUUCCGAAGAGCUUGCGUCUAUUGGAUGCUCCGAUCUGAACAAAUCUUUUCCAUUCCAUUUGUUUAACCAAAGCAAAGGAAGAGUGUGUUCUUACUUAAAAAUUGUCCUUCAUCCAAGUUGUCCUCGGAUUUUUGUCUAAGAGUGUCAUAACACCCCAGGUCGUUGCGCAAAUGUUUUGUGACAAUUUGGAAAACCACAGGAGACUUCCUAAAAGAAAAAAUCACAACUGAAAGGAUCUUAAAAAAAAAAAAUGUCCUUUUUCAUGUGUCGGCCUAACUAGGCUUCUUGUGGCAAAUCUCUCCCAUUAGGAACGAAGUGGGUGAAAGGGCCCUCUGGUUCCACCUUAUUCACCAGCUGAAACUCUGAACAAACCUUAGCAGAGUCCUCUCCUAAAGGUUACCGGGCUUCCCUGAGAAUAAGAAAUAAAAUAAAAUAAAGCAAACAAAAACCAGGGUAUUAAGUACUUGAAGUAAGUACUCAAAUAUUGGUUCUGCCAUUGCUCACCUCUGUGAACUGCGGCAAAUUGCUCAACCUCUUGAUGCCUUGUUCCUGCCUCAAUUUCACCAUUUCUAAAAUGUAAUUGUACCGAUAGCAUGGGUUAGUGUUAGGAUUAAGGAUAAUGAGAUAGUGCAAAUCAUGCCCUUAACAUAGUCCGAAGCAUAUGAAGGACACAAUAAUUAUUAGUAGUAUUAAUGUGACUAGGCUCUGUUUAUCACCAGAAUAAAAGUUAUGAACAAUAGGAUUUGGAAAAGGUAGCCUCCAAAGGUCUUCUUUUAUGAGUUUUAUUACAUCUGUCAUACAAUUCAGAUUCAAAAUCCCCUAGUCACAUUUAGCCUUCAGUCUAAUUAGAGAGAACUGAAUGAAAUGGUAGUGAUGCAUAGGCUUUUGUCAUAAUAUAGCUUUUUAAAAUAUGGAUUUGACUUCUGGGUUUCCCAUUACAGCCACUUCCCUAAGACCACUCUUUCUUGAGAAAAUUUCACUAGGGUGAUGAUAAUGC